CUUUAAUCACUCAAGCGAAAAGUAAGAUAGCCGAGCUCAUGGAACUAUACAACGGCGUAGAGGAUAAACCAGACGAUCAACUAACGUCGAGAGAGUACCAGUAUGUUUUUUUGAAAGAAUACAACGAAACCUUCAACAAACUUGGGAAAGAUAUGGGGAAGUCAAUCGUGGACAGCUUGCAAAUCGAAGACCCGAAUGUUUACAGUAGAAAACAAAUCAAAGCCAUGAGCCGACAAAUUGUUGAAAAAAAUUCCAAGAAAGAAGACUAAAUAACUAUGCUCUAAUUUAUAACUACCAGGAUCGACGUAAGCCCUGUGUUGCAUCGAAACAAAAUUAUUAUCACUUCA